rnacentral:rRNA from 1 species
UACCAGCACCCCGAGUGGUCGGGACGAUUAUUGGGCCUAAAGCAUCCGUAGCCGGUCCUGCAAGUCUUCCGUUAAAUCCAACUGCUUAACAGAUGGGCUGCGGAGGAUACUAUAAGACUAGGAGGCAGGAGAGGCAAGCGGUACUCAGUGGGUAGGGGUAAAAUCCGUUGAUCCAUUGAAGACCACCAGUGGCGAAGGCGGCUUGCCAGAAUGCGCUCGACGGUGAGGGAUGAAAGCUGGGGGAGCAAACCGG